rnacentral:tRNA from 1 species
UGGGACGUAGCUCAGUAGGUAGAGCGGCUGGCUUAUAUCCAGCGCGUCGAGGGUUCGAGUCCUUCCGUCCCGA